rnacentral:rRNA from 1 species
UACGGGGGGGGCAAGCGUUGUUCGGAUUUACUGGGCGUAAAGGGCGCGUAGGCGGUCAGCACAAGUCAGUUGUGAAAUCUCCGGGCUUAACCCGGAACGGUCAACUGAUACUGUGCGACUAGAGUGCGGAAGGGGCAACUGGAAUUCUCGGUGUAGCGGUGAAAUGCGUAGAUAUCGAGAGGAACACCUGCGGCGAAGGCGGGUUGCUGGGCCGACACUGACGCUGAUGCGCGAAAGCGUGGGGAGCAAACAGG